UACAGAGGAUCCAAGCGUUAUCCGGAUUUAUUGGGUUUAAAGGGUGCGUAGGCGGCUUAUUAAGUCAGGGGUGAAAGACGGUGGCUCAACCAUCGCAGUGCCCUUGAUACUGAUGAGCUUGAAUACACUAGAGGUAGGCGGAAUGUGACAAGUAGCGGUGAAAUGCAUAGAUAUGUCACAGAACACCGAUUGCGAAGGCAGCUUACUAUGGUGUGAUUGACGCUGAGGCACGAAAGCGUGGGGAUCAAACAGG
rnacentral:rRNA from 1 species